rnacentral:lncRNA from 1 species
AUGUUCUACUUCCUUAUUCACCCAUUAUUAGAGUCUCAUUCUGUAUCUUCUCUCACACUCGCUGUUAUGGAGUUGUUCAUCUUCAUAGUUUUUCAGCUCCUGAUGGAGGUUCAGUCUCACCGAUUUCCUAGAGUAAAAGUAUCUCCAGAUGUCAUAAGAGAGUCCAGCUCAGUGAAGAUCAGCUGUGAGACAGAACCACGUGUUAUAGUGAAUACAUGUUAUUUCUACAUAAACAGAGGGGAGAAGAAAAUGAAAACCAGUUCAUCAUGUGAGCUCGAGCUCACUGGUGCUGAAGUGUUCAGAUGGGCAGCUGUAAAAUCACCUGAAUCACUCAACAUUAUCUGUUACUACACAAUGAUAAAUGUGCAAGGCUCAUCCAUAACAUCAUCUGAUUCUGAUCCUGCCACAGUAACGGUUCUAGUUUCAACAUCAACCACCACUGAAGAAACUACUACAACAGCCAUGAAAACCCGUGAGUAAUUGAGUUUGUAAAUCAGUUAUUCUUACUCCAUUCUGAAUGUCCUGAAAACGACAAUCAUUCUUUUAAGCUCAUGAGUAUUUGUCGAUCAUUUACUAUACAUACGGUACAUCACCACACAUUUCACAAUGUUUUUUCAUCAGCAUUAACUGUAAUGUCCACUUCUGAGACUACAAUAUACAGUAAAACUGGUAAGUUGCUAAUAAUAGCUUUUCUGGUUAUUUUAGAUUAAAUCUGAUAAAUUAUUUCCUUCUAAAACCUGAUGGCCCUUGCAAUGUUAUUUUUAUAUUAGCAGACCCUUAAACCAAGAUAAACCCGCCAAUCAGUACAGCAAAGGAAAAAAGAAAAGUUCAUCCACUCUUUCUCAAUGGUAAAAGUCACUAUGCAGAAAUAAUGUUUUGGAAUAAAAAAGUUCCAAUAUAGCUGGGAAUUAUUGGUACAUCAGUAACUCAUAGUGGUUGAUCCUGAAUAUAAACAGUAAACACAGAGAAUUCAACAAAGUCAAGUCUCAUGAUUAUGCUGCUUAACAGUAGAAUGUCAGAAAAUAGUGAAGGCCAGAAUGCACUACAUGACUUUUGCCCAGAUUAUUGCCC